rnacentral:tRNA from 1 species
GUACCCUUAGCUCAGUUGGCCAGAGCAGACGGCUCAUAACCGUCCGGUCGUAGGUUCGAGUCCUACAGGGUACA